UGGCUAUGAACCGGUAAGAGGGCUCUCACCGGAAUGUGACCAUGCUCCUGCCUUGAUCUUAGAGUCCCCAGCCUCCAGACUGUGAGAAAUAACUUUCUGUAGUCUAGAAACCAUCUAGUCUAAGAACAAGAGACUAAAAUACAUCAAAUCAGUGUGUUGCUUGAAGCUGGCAAGGCUAACAGUUGCUUAGAAACUGCUUUGAAGCCCUAAGGACCACCUGAUGGGACAAUUAACAAACAGCUCCUUGGAGUGAGGGCCACAGCUGCAAAUAAUCUAAUUUGUUGAGCUGCUUCUGGA